GAUGAACGCUGACAGAAUGCUUAACGCAUGCAAGUCAACUUGAAUUUGGGUUUUUAACUUAGAUUUGGGUGGCGGACGGGUGAGUAACGCGUAAAGAACUUGCCUCACAGCUAGGGACAACAUUUAGAAAUGAAUGCUAAUACCUGAUAUUAUGAUUUUAAGGCAUCUUAGAAUUAUGAAAGCUAUAAGCACUGUGAGAGAGCUUUGCGUCCCAUUAGCUAGUUGGAGAGGUAACAGCUCACCAAGGCGAUGAUGGGUAGCCGGCCUGAGAGGGUGAACGGCCACAAGGGGACUGAGACACGGCCCUUACUCCUACGGGAGGCAGCAGUGGGGAAUAUUGGACACUCAGACCGAGAGUCUGAUCCAGCAAUUCUGUGUGCACGAUGAAGUUUUUCGGAAUGUAAAGUGCUUUCAGUUGGGAAGAAAGAAAUGACGGUACCAACAGAAGAAGUGACGGCUAAAUACGUGCCAGCAGCCGCGGUAAUACGUAUGUCACGAGCGUUAUCCGGAUUUAUUGGGCGUAAAGCGCGUCUAGGUGGUUAUGUAAGUCUGAUGUGAAAAUGCAGGGCUCAACUUUGUAUUGCGUUGGAAACUGUAUAACUAGAGUACUGGAGAGGUAAGCGGAACUACAAGUGUAGAGGUGAAAUUCGUAGAUAUUUGUAGGAAUGCCGAUGGGGAGGCCAGCUUACUGGACAGAUACUGACGCUAAAGCGCGAAAGCGUGGGUAGCAAACAGG
rnacentral:rRNA from 1 species